rnacentral:rRNA from 1 species
GACGAACGCUGGCGGCGUGCUUAACACAUGCAAGUCGAACGGAAAGGCCCUGCUUUUGUGGGGUGCUCGAGUGGCGAACGGGUGAGUAACACGUGAGUAACCUGCCCUUGACUUUGGGAUAACUUCAGGAAACUGGGGCUAAUACCGGAUAGGAGCUCCUGCUGCAUGGUGGGGGUUGGAAAGUUUCGGCGGUGGGGGAUGGACUCGCGGCUUAUCAUCUGGUUGGUGGGGUAGUGGCUUACCAAGGCUUUGACGGGUAGCCGGCCUGAGAGGGUGACCGGCCACAUUGGGACUGCGAUACGGCCCAGAAUCCUACGGGAGGCAGCAGUGGGGAAUAUUGCACAAUGGGCGGAAGCCUGAUGCAGCAACGCCGCGUGCGGGAUGACGGCCUUCGGGUUGUAAAACGCUUUCGCCUGUGACGAAGCGUGAGUGACGGUAAUGGGUAAAGAAGCACCGGCUAACUACGUG